UUACUUUCAACUCAGGGGUCCACAGAUGACAGCCAUAGCUCAUAUUCAUGAGCUACAACUGCUCCCACAAAUGGUAAUCAUUCCAGUGCUUCAGUAUUGGGUCUUGUGCCCACUGCACUGUUCCUGCUGAUUCCAGCAGCCACCCUGGGCUUCCUCCACACUAGAUCUUAAACUGGAUGGAGAAUAUUAACCAUACAUGACCAAGACUGAGACAAUGGCAAAAAUGGACAGCCAGUCACUCAAAGAGCAUACUUUGGCAAAAUUCUUGACUAUAGAAGACACAAAAGGGAGGGGAAGACACCGCUACAGUUCACAUUUGUAAUGGAUGUUUUAAGUAAUAAAAGCUUGCAUUGAAGGAAAUCUACAACUGCAUAAUCAAAGGCUAAACUGCACUAUUGGACUCUUGGUUAUGUUUUGUCCCUAAGCCACAUUUUCAGGCUCACCUACUCAAUGGCAACUUCUCUUGGAAGAGUCAGUUUCUCAGAUGCCCAGGAUAAUCAAUGAUAUUUGGUUGAGGCAAAGGUUAAACAAAUUCACCUUAUGCUGACAUAUAUGACAUCAUGUUAUCAUUAUAUCUUAUAUCAUUUCAGUUUCUGUAAUGCCAUUAUGUGUACAUCAAAUUUUACUACAGCAUAUGGACCUGAUCUACAUAAUCCAUCUUCUCUUACAGUAUUUUUGUAUUUAAUGUAAAGAACCGUUAAUUGUAAUGAUUAAUGAUGUUUCAAAAUGCACAAUUAAAGCGGAUGAUCAUACAGUAUAUGUUUGUAUGUCAUUUUUUAUCCAACUUGGUAUUAAUGUGUGUUCUCUUAACAUGGCAUUAUCAUAGUUUUAUUAAUGUUGUAGGUCAUAUCUUGUAGAUCUGGAGUGGAUGAGAGGGGUGUCCUGGUUUGAAAUUUUGUAGCAUUGAUAGAGGUUUAGAUGUAUUGACAAAAGCAGCUUUUAUUUGGAGAUCCCCUUUUUCAGUAGCAACUAUUAGCCUCCUCCUCAUUGGUGGGCGGGUGUUUUAGAAACAUGUCACACGUCAAUCACUUUGACAAUAAAAACCAAAUCUUCCCCCAUCAUUGAGCUCAGACUCUUGGGUCAUCAGGAAACUUCACUGGAAGAAGAAAAGGCAACCAUAAAAAAAAAAAUGAAUCAUAUAUUGACAUUGUGCCUUGGGGUGCUGCUCAUAACCAUACCGUUUUCAACUCAGUCCUCAACAGGAAGCAACACCACUGCAGUCAAACCCAUUCCAAGUGUCACAAAGAAUUCUGCCAGUGCUGAAAGAUUGGGUCUUGUGCACACUGCACUGUACCUGCUGAUCCCAGCAGCCAUCCUGGGUUUCCUCCACACUAGAUCUUAAUCUGGAUGGAGAAUAUUAACCAUAGAUGACCAAAACUGAGACCAUGGCAAAGAUGAAAAACGAGCCACUCGCAGCGCAAAUGUAUAAAAACUCUUGAAGAUAGAAGACACCACCACAGCUCACAUUUGUAAUGGAUUUUAUUUUUAAAUGGGCCUAAUUAAAAUGAAUAAAUAUUUGGGUUUUGUGUACACCUAUUUUAGAGUGCUUACACCAACGGUGCUUCUAUAGGAAGUCUGUUUCUCAGAAGCCCAGGAUAUCAAUGAUAUUCUGUUAAGGCAAUGUUUAAGCAAAUUCACCUUAUGCUGACAUUCUGUACCAGCUCAAACUUAAAUCAGUAAAAACUGUUUCAGUUGUGUUUCUCAAAGUUUUUGAUAUUAGUCUCUUUAAUGGCAUGAUUUGUACAGCCAGUUUUACUAAAUGUACCUUAUCAAUGUAAUCCAUCUCCAUUUUCAAUAUUUUGUAUUGAUUGCAAUGAUCUGUUAAUUGUACUGAUUAUGAAAGUGGCAAUAAAAAUUAAAGAGAACGUUUGCAUA